GAAUGGAUUCGCAAGGAGGUAAAACGAAAUACGUUAAGGUGGAAGGAAUUUGUUCAAAUCUUUUGUUUCGAUUAAAGAUUUAUUACAAGUCUGAUAUUUUUUUGUCUUUUUCGUUACUCCUAAUUUAGGGAGGAUUUGUUAAUCCGAAAAUAGAGAU
rnacentral:ribozyme from 1 species